rnacentral:rRNA from 1 species
AUGAACGCUGGCGGCGUGCUUAACACAUGCAAGUCGAGCGAGGCGGAGGGGCAACUCCUCCAGUCGAGCGGCGGACGGGUGAGUAACACGUGGGCAAUCUGCCCGAAAGUGGGGAAUACCCCAGGGAAACUUGGGCUAAUACCGCAUGUGAUCGCGACCUCGAGAGGGAUGCGAUCAAAGGGGGUCGCAAGACCUCCGCUUUCGGAGGAGGCCCGCGCCCGAUUAGCUAGUUGGUGAGGGUAACGGCUCACCAAGGCUCGAUCGGUAGCCGGCCUGAGAGGGUGAUCGGCCCACACCGGAACUGAGACACGGUCCGGACUCCUACGGGAGGCAGCAGUGGGGAAUCUUGCAGCAAUGGGCGAAGCCUGAGCAGCGAACGCCGCGUGGAAGGAUGAAGGUCCUUGGAUUGUAAACCUUUCUGUCGUGCCGGAAGAAUUCAUCGGGUCAUACCCCGGUGAUUGACUGUACCGGCAAUAAGUCCUCGGCUAACUACUGUGCCAGCAGCCGCGGUAAACAGUAGGAGGACAAGCGUUAUUCGGAAUUACUUGGGCGUAAAGGGCGCGUAGGUCGGUCCUUCAAGUCUCUGCGUGAAAUAUCCCUCGGCUUAACCUGAGGCAGUCGUGCGGGAUACUGCUGGUACUUAGAGGCCGGUAAGAGGGUGGUGGAAUUCCAGGGUGUAGUGGUGAAAUGCGUAGAUAUCGGAGGAACACCAGGUGGCGAAGGCGGCCACCUGGGCCGGACCUGACGCUGAGGCCGCGACAGCAUGGGGAGCAAACAGGGAUUAGAUACCCGGUAGUCCAUGCCCGUAAACGAUGCUAGCUGGGUGUUCAGGGGGGGAAACCCCUCGGGGUACCGAAGUCAACACGGUAAGCUAGCCGCCUGGGGAGUACGGUCGCAAGGCUGAAACUCAAAGGAAUUGACGGGGGCCCGCACAAGCAGCUGGAGCAUGUGGUUUAAUUCGAGGCUACACGCGAAGAACCUUACCCUGGGCUUGAACUAGCGUAGUGACAUCCUACGAAAGCGUAGCGACCUUCCGCAAGGACACUCGUAUAAGGUGCUGCAUGGCUGUCGUCAGCUCGUGUCCGUGAGGAUGUUGGGUUAAGUCCCGCAAACGAGCGCAACCCAUCGUUGCGUUAGUUGCAUCACGUUAUGUGCUACUCUGCAAGACUGCCGGUGAGAAACGGAGGAAGGUGGGGAUGACGUCAAGUCAGCAUGGCCUUUAUGUCCUAGGGCUACACACGGCUACAAUGGGCGGUACAAACCGUUGCGAUAGCCGCUAGGUGGAGCCUAAUCGGAGAAAGCCGGUUCGUCAGUUCGGAUAGCAGGCUGCAACUCGCCUGCAUUGAAGUUGGAAUUCGCUAGUAACCGCGGAUCAGCUACGCCUGCGGUGAAUACGUUCCCGGGCCUUGUACACACCGCCCGUCACAUCAUGGAAGCUGUUGUACUAGAAGUCGGGCCAUACCAACCGCAAGGAGGCAAGGCGCCUAAGGUAUGGUCUGUGAUUGGGAUG